UACUGGUGUUUGCUUGAAACAGAAUUUCGGAAAAUUUGCAUCCGGACUUACCCGUCCUGAUUCGGUACUUACAGAAAUUGUUUCACCGCUUGUUCAAAUGUUUUUACCUACCCUUUUACAUAAAAAUCUGCAGGAUAAACUUUAACCGUGAGAACGACUAAUUCUCAAUGACAAGUUCAAAUGAAGACAAUUAACACCAAUUGUCGGACUAAUCCACCUUUCAAGCAAUCAUCCCAAAAUACCGUGCGUUCUCUGCGAAAAUCGGUAGUCGCCGGCAGCCACGCAACUGGCGAACACAUUUUUGCCCCGCAAUAGCCGACGUGCGAAGGGUAGACACGAUUUUGUACAGUCGGGUAUAACGAAGCGGUAGGGGAACGGCGGAAUGAAACACCUUGAAAAAGUGUCACGGAGUGUACGAGUACAGAACCACAUCGGAACACUUGAAGGAUUAAAUUUCAUGGAAUGGAUAAGUCUUAUCGUGUUAUCCGAGAAUUGUCGUUCAUCGUGUUAUUCGAUCAUCCAUAAUGCUGUAUGUGCCGUGUUGACCUUGAGAUCGGUAAUUACCUGUCAGCAACUGGUUGAGUCAACGCGUAGAUAGAUUAAAAUAAUAUUAGUGUGAAAUACUACGUCUGUAAUGAUUUAACGUCGUUGUUCAAAGUUUCAAGUACGACUGUAUAUUUUAUAAGUCAGAUACUAGUGCAUAUCAUCUGAAACACUGUUCGAUGAAUGUUGACGGGUUCUGUCAC
rnacentral:lncRNA from 1 species